rnacentral:rRNA from 1 species
AACGAACGCUGGCGGCAGGCCUAACACAUGCAAGUCGAGCGCGCCCUUCGGGGUGAGCGGCGGACGGGUGAGUAACGCGUGGGAACGUGCCCUUUUCUACGGAAUAGCCUCGGGAAACUGAGAGUAAUACCGUAUACGCCCUUUGGGGGAAAGAUUUAUCGGAAAAGGAUCGGCCCGCGUUGGAUUAGGUAGUUGGUGGGGUAAUGGCCUACCAAGCCGACGAUCCAUAGCUGGUUUGAGAGGAUGAUCAGCCACACUGGGACUGAGACACGGCCCAGACUCCUACGGGAAGCAGCAGUGGGGAAUCGUAGACAAUGGGGGCAACCCUGAUCGAGCCAUGCCGGGUGAGUGAUGAAGGCCUUAGGGUUGUAAAGCUCUUUCAGCUGGGAAGAUAAUGACGGUACCAGCAGAAGAAGCCCCGGCUAACUCCGUG